UUACAAGAAUUUUUAUAAAAAACUUCCACUUUUAAAUGCAAAUGCAAAUAUGACAUAAUUCUCUUCGUCACUUUCAAAGAGAAACAAAACAAGCAGUAGCCAAUGAUUUCCAAAAAGUGGGUAAAUUAUAAAACAAGAAGUUAUUUUUAGACAACGAACGUGUCAAGUGGGGAAGAGUGUGUGUCAAACGGGGAAGAGUACGUUUCCGGGUAACUUUCCAACAAAAUCGCUCGCCAAAAGUCGGAUUUGGGUGUAUUUAAGUUUAUGUCGAAAAAAAUAAAAUGUAAUGCGGUUUUCUUAUUUUCUGGUACGGCAAGUUCACUGGAAAAAUAUUUUAAGGGGGAUAUGUAGUACGCAGAAGAAGAAUUAAAGUUCAUCAACAAAUAAUUUAUUUUUUGUUAACAAGGAGCUUCCUGGUUUAAUACAAGAAUUUAAAAAUUUACCUAAAUCUUGAAAGAAGAAAAACAAAACGUUUUUUCUUACUGAUUAACGACAACAGAAGCGUUCGUUGAAUGAAGCAGAAACACAAAAGAAACUUCAGGGCUAAGGAAAACGUUUGAAAGACAAUUCGAAUAAUAAAGAUAGUGUAAAAAAAAAAGGAAAAGGGAAAGCAGUUAGCAAAAUUGGAAAAGCUAAUAACAAGACUACAUAAAAAAACGUCUGUUCGGUUUUAGACCAGACCGGUCGUUCAUCCACA